rnacentral:rRNA from 1 species
CGGCGCGCUAAUACAUGCAAGUCGAACGAGAAUGUGUAGCAAUACACAUGUAAAGUGGCGAACGGGUGAGGACUACAUGGGUAACCUACCCUCGAGUGGGGGAUAACCAGCCGAAAGGUUGGCUAAUACCGCGUACGCUCCCCGGACUGCGGUUCGGGAAGGAAAGCGAUACCGUGGGUAUCGCGCUCUUGGAUGGGCUCAUGCCCUAUCAGCUUGUUGGUGAGGUAACGGCUCACCAAGGCAUCGACGGGUAGCUGAUCUGAGAGGAUGAUCAGCCACACUGGCACUGCGACACGGGCCAGACUCCUACGGGAGGCAGCAGUAAGGAAUAUUGCGCAAUGGGCGACAGCCUGACGCAGCGACGCCGCGUGGGGGAUGAAGGUCUUCGGAUUGUAAACCCCUUUCGGGAGGGAAGAUGGGAUGGGGUAACCCAUUCGGACGGUACCUCCAGAAGCAGCCACGGCUAACUUCGUGCCAGCAGCCGCGGUAAUACGAAGGUGGCAAGCGUUGUUCGGAUUUACUGGGCGUACAGGGAGCGUAGGCGGUUGGAUAAGCCCUCCGUGAAAUCUCCAGGCUUAACCUGGAAAGUGCAGAGGGGACUGUUCAGCUAGAGGAUGGGAGAGGAGCGCGGAAUUCCCGGUGUAGCGGUGAAAUGCGUAGAGAUCGGGAGGAAGGCCGGUGGCGAAGGCGGCGCUCUGGAACAUUUCUGACGCUGAGGCUCGAAAGCGUGGGGAGCAAACAGGAUUAGAUACCCUGGUAGUCCACGCCUUAAACGAUGGAUACUAAGUGUCGGCGGGUUACCGCCGGUGCCACAGCUAACGCAGUAAGUAUCCCGCCUGGGAAGUACGGCCGCAAGGUUGAAACUUAAAGGAAUUGACGG